CGCCACCACCAUCGCCGAUGAGAGGGAGGGAACGAGAGAUCUCUGCCGCAUGCGGAUACUUCGAUUCACUAUCGCCGAGCUGUCGGAGCCUGGCCGAGGAGGUUCACCGGUGGGCAACGAAAGCUUUUGUGGCACGAUUGGGCGUGAAGGACGAUCGUGGCAAGUGGAAUUCCUCAUCGACGACUGGGAAUCGCCAUCGUCCACAGCCAACCAUGGAUGGGAGUCCAUGUUGCAAGGAUACUGGUAAGGAUAUAUUCAAUCGUUUCACGAUCGUCUACACAUUUAUUCGUACCUAGUUAUGAUAGAGACCAGGUACCAAGGCACUGACUGGCCAUUCGUCGGCAUCAGCACCGUCGCGAGCCGUGCAGAUGCCGCUCGGGUGCAUCGUCGGGGAAGGAAGAAGCAAGCAUGUCCGUUAGAUCGAGAACGAACGACCGAAGUUUGAUCUAAUGCAUAGCUGGUUGAUCAUUUAAAUCCGAGACGAAGAUUUUGAGGCGGACGACUGAGAAUCGAUUGGAGGCGUACUGCUUCGCUGAUCUGAUCUAGGUCGUCUGAUCGUGAUCGGAAGGCCUAGGUUGCACACCGGUUUAUAAAAUGUUAGGUCUAAUCUCGACCCUCGAAAUCAGAUUGUGUGUGUCGGCGUUUCGACCCCGGGGGAUCCCUGAACCGACGAGUAAAUUGUCGCUGCGUGUCCCAGCCCAGAUGGGUCGGCGCGAGACGAAACACAAGGGGGGAAA
rnacentral:lncRNA from 1 species